UACGGAGGGUGCGAGCGUUGUCCGGAAUCAUUGGGCGUAAAGGGCGCGUAGGUGGCCCGGUCAGCGUGCGGUGAAAGCUCGGGGCUCAACCCCGAGUCGGCCGUGCGAACUGCUGGGCUGGAGCACUGUAGAGGCAGGCGGGAAUUCCGGGUGUAGCGGUGGAAUGCGUAGAGAUCCGGAAGAACACCGGUGGCGAAGGGCGGCCUGCUGGGCAGUGGCUGACACUGAGGCGCGACAGCGUGGGGAGCAAACAGG
rnacentral:rRNA from 1 species